AUGGCUCUUCAUCUUCACCGCCUGCCCCUCCUCCUCCUACUCGUGCUCACCACCCUCCUAUCCACCGCCUCCGCCACCCACUCGCCGGAGAGCACCACCGCGUGCAGCCACCACCGUUCCCCGACGGGCACCCCCACAGCCCACUUCCACCCCGUCCAUGGCGCGGCUCCUUCCAUGCAUCAAAACGAUCUCGAAACCUUGAGCCAGCCUGUGCUCGCCGUGGACUCCGCCGACGCCGACGCGCAUACAAUGGAGGCGGAGUUGCGGGCGUCGGCCCCUCCUGCUCUGCUCGUGCCACCCCAAGCCGCGGCGCCCUCACCGCCUCCCACGCCCGUCGCGCAGCCGGAUCUGGCGGCCUACCGUUCCGGUGCAACGCCGCCGCCGCGAGAGGGGUUAGCGACUGCUACGGCGACUACGCUACCUAACCAGAGUACGACAGCGAGGCCACCGCCUCCCGUCCAAGCCGGCGGCGCCGCUGGGGAGGUGGUGGUCUCCGACAGCGAGCAGGGGCUGCAUCAGCUCUCGAGGGCGCUUGCUUCGCUAGGGUACCAGGAGAUGGCGGCGGCGGCGGCAGCGCUCCUCGUCAACUCGCCGCCUCUCGCCAAGUGGCCCGGGCCGAUGACAGUCUUCGCCGCUCUCGACGCCUUCCUCCAGGCCUUCUGCCCCAUGUGCUCGCGCCGAGACCUCCUCGUCGACCACAUCGCCAUGGGCUACUACCCCUACUCCGAGCUCACGGUCGCUGCCAUGGUGAAGAUCCCCUCCGCCUCCGUCGACUUGUGCAUCAAGAUCGUUUUGGAAAGGGGCCCCUUCGCCACCGGCCACGCCAGGAUCUACGCGGACGACGUGGAGGUAUCGCACCCCGACCUCUACAACGACGGCCGCUACGUCGUCCAUGGGCUGGUCGGCUUCCUGCGCCCGCUCACGCACUCCUGCUUCCACGGCCCGCACCAUCGCCGCUCCCUUGCGGGGCGAUCUUCUGGUGGCACGCUGGUGCGCGAGGCUAUCGCCCGCCUACGCCGACGAGGCUUCGGCGUUGUGGCGAUCGCCCUCCGCCUCCAGUUCACAGAGCUUCAGAGGUUCGCGAAUCUUACGGUCUUCGCACUCAACGACCAGGCCAUUUUCGCCAGGGGAGGCCACGACUACGUCUCAGCGGUGCGCUUCCACAUUGUGCUCAAACAUCGUCUCACCCACGCCGAUCUACGUCGUCUCCGCCCCGGGACAAUUCUCCACACUCUGGCUGGCGAGGGCCAGAGCCUCAUCAUCACGCACGGUGCCGCCGAGGAUGUCUUCGUCAACUACAUACCCAUCAAGGAAGCAGACGUGGUGAUCAACUCUCGCAUUGCCGUGCAUGGCGUCCAGGAACCUUUGCCGCACCUCGACGGAGAGCUGCACAGCGGCGCCGGCGCGGCCGAGCCAAAUCUUAGGAAGGUGCAAAAGAGGUUCACGCUGCAUGCUUCACAGCGACCGGCAGAGCAAGGUUGGGCACGGGACCGCCGAGUGCCAUUGCAUUUGGCUGUUGUUGGGGCUGCGGUGGCGGCCAUGGCAGGUGCUGCCGCAGCGGGUAGCUGGUUUCGGUCGGUGAGAGGCAAGGAUGGCAAACGGAUUUAUCUUGCACAGGCCGCGAUGGAGGCAACAUACAAUGCCAAAUACGGGCGGAGAAACCUCAUUGCCGAGGUCGAGGAGCAGAAUGAGCGAUGUUGUGCAGUAUGCAAGGCAGAAGCCUUUGAUUGGAUCGCCACCUGCUGUAGUGUGAAGUAUUGCAGUUCAUGCCUGGGUGCAGCAUAUGUCAAGGGUCAUAAUGCGCUCUACGCACCAGGGUCAGUUUGCUGCUCUCCGUCACACUAA
rnacentral:rRNA from 1 species